AUGAAUGCUGGCGGCGUGCCUAACACAUGCAAGUCAAACGGCCCUUCGGGGCAGUGGCAAACGGGUGAGUAACGCGUUGGUAUCUGCCUUUAUCUUCGGUAUAACUCUUCGAAAGGAGAGCUAAUCCCGGAUAAUCUCUUCGGAGUAAAGCUUCGGCGGAUAAAGAGGAACCUGCGUCCUAUCAGCUUGUUGGUAAGGUAAUGGCCUUACCAAGGCUAAGACGGGUAGCUG
rnacentral:rRNA from 1 species